rnacentral:lncRNA from 1 species
UUUGGAAAGAGAGAAGGUAUAAAAGGAAAGCCUUUUACAAAUGAGAAAUAAUUUUAUUUGUUCCUUAAGAGUGGACUCAGAAGAGACCUCCACUUUGAGACCCUAGGAGCUGCAGAUUAUGUGUUUUGCUACGGAGGAGCAGCCAAGAGACAUGCGCAUCUGAGGAUCGCUCUGCAAGACUGUACCAGCGCGCUUGACGGUCCUUCGUGUUCUCAUGCAGAGAGGGUCUCAGCGAGUGGAGGUCCAUGGCGGGCACUUACUUUCCACAGGGAUGGAAUGCAAGCCCAUGUUUUGCAAGUUUGAAGUAGGACAAUUCUUGGUAUCUUUAAGCAAGCCACAGUGGGAGGAGACUAUUUUGGAGAACAGCAUCUGUUGGGGUCUGGUCCUCUGUGAGCGGAAGCUUCCAUUAAACAGGACAACUGGCAGCUCUUAUGCAUCUUCCACAUAUUUCUAAUUCUCAGUGAAUAAAUGAAUAUUACUUGCUUCUUUUUUUGUGGCAUUCCUCUCAUGUUAAUUCUUUAAGUGAUGUUUUAUUUAAUAGACCAUUUUCUUAUGAACUGUGUACCCAGCAUAUAUUAACUAAAAUCACCCUUUAUAUUUCAGGUAAUGAUGAUCUCUUUCAGAAACUCAAGACAAGCGUAGUACAUUGAAAGGAAUCAUUGGAGCGUAGGAACCUCCUGGUUAGCUGGCCUCCCAUUUCUUCCAAUCACAGCUCUAACUCUGUGGUUUAAUAAGAUGCAAAGAUACUGCGUACGGUUAGA